CCUGAGAAACAGCUACUACAUCCAAGGAAGGCAGCAGGCACGCAAAUUACCCACUCCCGGCACGGGGAGGUAGUGACAAAAAAUAACGAUACGGGACUCAUCCGAGGCCCCGUAAUCGGAAUGAGUACACUUUAAAUCCUUUAACAAGGAUCCAAUGGAGGGCAAGUCUGGUGCCAGCAGCCGCGGUAAUUCCAGCUCCAUUAGCGUAUAUUAAAGUUGUUGCGGUUANNUGGUUCACCGCCUGACGGUGCAACUGGCAUGCCGUGGGAUGUCCUGUCGGUGGUGGCCUUGGCCCACGGNGCGUGUAGGUACUAUACCGAAGCACGUCGUGUGUCGCCAAGGAUCGCCGAUCCAAUCCUGCCUCGGUGCUUUUUAUCGAGUGUCGAGGUGGGCCGACACGUUUACUUUGAACAAAUUAGAGUGCUCAAAGCAGGCUAAUUAUGCCUGGAUAUUGGUGCAUGGAAUAAUGGAAUAGGACCUCGGUUCUAUUUUGUUGGUUUUCGGAAUCCGAGGUAAUGAUCAAUAUGGACAGGCGGCUUGGCAAAUGCUUUCGC
rnacentral:rRNA from 1 species